GACCUGGCUCAGGAUGAACGCUAGCUACAGGCUUAACACAUGCAAGUCGAGGGGCAUCAGGAAGAAAGCUUGCUUUCUUUGCUGGCGACCGGCGCACGGGUGAGUAACACGUAUCCAACCUGCCCUUUACUCGGGGAUAGCCUUUCGAAAGAAAGAUUAAUACCCGAUAGCAUAAUGAUUCCGCAUGGUUUCAUUAUUAAAGGAUUCCGGUAAAGGAUGGGGAUGCGUUCCAUUAGGUUGUUGGUGAGGUAACCGG
rnacentral:rRNA from 1 species